rnacentral:rRNA from 1 species
AAAUUGAAGAGUUUGAUCAUGGCUCAGAUUGAACGCUGACGGCAGGCCUAACACAUGCAAGUCGAACGGUAACAGGAAGCAGCUUGCUGCUUCGCUGACGAGUGGCGGACGGGUGAGUAAUGUCUGGGAAACUGCCUGAUGGAGGGGGAUAACUACUGGAAACGGUAGCUAAUACCGCAUAACGUCGCAAGACCAAAGAGGGGGACC